UACGUAGGGUGCGAGCGUUAAUCGGAAUUACUGGGCGUAAAGCGUGCGCAGGCGGUUUUGUAAGCCAGAUGUGAAAUCCCCGGGCUCAACCUGGGAAUGGCAAUGGAUACUGGCAAGCUAGAGUGCGGUAGAGGGUAGUGGAAUUCCCGGUGUAGCGGUGAAAUGCGCAGAUAUCGGGAAGAACACCCGUGGCGAAGGCGGCACUCUGGGACGGUACUGACGCUGAGACGCGAAAGCGUGGGGAGCGAACAGG
rnacentral:rRNA from 1 species